rnacentral:rRNA from 1 species
CAGGAUUAGAUACCCUGGUAGUCCACGCUGUAAACGAUGAGUGCUGGAUGUGGGGGUUUUUACCUCCGUGUUGUAGCUAACGCGUUAAGCACUCCGCCUGGGGACUACGGUCGCAAGACUAAAACUCAAAGGAAUUGACGGGGACCCGCACAAGCGGUGGAGCAUGUGGUUUAAUUCGAUGCAACGCGAAGAACCUUACCACUUCUUGACAUGAAGAUUGGAUCCUCCUUAACAGGAGGGCGCAGUUAGGCUGGGUCUUGCACAGGUGCUGCAUGGCUGUCGUCAGCUCGUGUCGUGAGAUGUUGGGUUAAGUCCCGCAACGAGCGUAACCCUCACCCUUAGUUGCCAGCGGGUAAAGCCGGGGACUUUAAGGGAACUGCCAGUGGUAAGCUGGAGGAAGGUGGGGAUGAUGUCAAGUCAGCAUGGCCCUUAUGGGGUGGGCUACACACGUGCUACAAUGGUGACUACAAUAGGUUGCAAUGUCGUAAGGCUGAGCUAAUCCGGUAAAAGUCAUCUUAGUUCGGAUUGUCCUCUGCAACUCGAGGGCAUGAAGCAGGAAUCGCUAGUAAUCGUGGAUCAGCAUGCCACGGUGAAUACGUUCUCGGGUCUUGUACACACUGCCCGUCACGCCAUGGGAAUUGGCUUAACUC